rnacentral:sRNA from 1 species
GAUCAUUAUUGAAUAAACCUKUGUGGGUUGCUGCUGACCUCUUCGGAGGUAUGUGCACACCUGCCUUUGUUUCAUUCUUCCCUUCCACCUGUGCACUCUCUGUAGGCUGCGCUGUCGUCUUCGGGUUCUGGUAUCCCGGUAUGAGGAAUUGCCUCUGGCUUUCCUUGGAUGGCUGUGGUCUACGUCUUCAUUAACCCAUUGUAUGUAACUGAAUGUGUGACCGGGCCUUUGUUGCCCAUAAAACCUUAUACAACUUUCAACAACGGAUCUCUUGGCUCUCGCAUCGAUGAAGAACGCAGCGAAAUGCGAUAAGUAAUGUGAAUUGCAGAAUUCAGUGAAUCAUCGAAUCUUUGAACGCACCUUGCGCUCCUUGGCAUUCCGAGGAGCAUGCCUGUUUGAGUGUCAUUAAAUCCUCAACCCCACCUUCUUUGUGGAGUGUGGUCAGUUGGAUGUGGGAGCUGCUGGCCUUCUGUGGUCAGCUCUUCUGAAAUGUAUUAGCAGGACCCUCUGUGCGAGACUGCGACUUGGUAUUGAUAGUUGUCUUACCGAGUUACAGACGAGCAUGUGCUCUGCUCAUAGCUGUCUCGACUUUGAGACAAAUGACUUGACGAUUUGACCUCAAAUCAGGUAGGACUACCCGCUGAACUUAAGCAUAUCAAUAAGCGGAGGAAAAGAAACUAACAAGGAUUCCCCUAGUAACUGCGAGUGAAGCGGGAAAAGCUCAAAUUUAAAAUCUGGCGGUCUCUGGCC